CUAUCGAUCGACCUUCUGUUGGAUUCCUCAUGCAACUGGACCUCUCCAGCAAACAAUCUUCAAACUAGCUUUUACAUCAGAUAAAUUUCAGAUAGACUUCUCUAGCAAUCGAACUCCAAUCGGAUUUCUCUAACAGAAAGUUUUCAUCCGGAUUUCUAUAGCAAAUGAUUUUCGUCUGCGGCAUCAACGCUUAAGGCACCCAAUAACGUCUGGGCUUCCAC
rnacentral:lncRNA from 1 species